UACGGAGGGUGCGAGCGUUGUCCGGAAUCAUUGGGCGUAAAGGGUGCGUAGGUGGCCAGGUAAGUUUGAUGUGAAAGCUCGGAGCUUAACUCCGAAAUGGCAUUGAAUACUAUCUGGCUUGAGGGUCGGAGGGGAGACUGGAAUUCUCGGUGUAGCAGUGAAAUGCGUAGAUAUCGAGAGGAACACCAGUGGCGAAGGCGAGUCUCUGGACGACACCUGACACUGAGGCACGAAGGCCAGGGGAGCAAACGGG
rnacentral:rRNA from 1 species